GAUGAACGCUGGCGGCGUGCCUAAUACACGCAAGUCGUACGGAAAGGCCCUUCGGGGUACUCGAGUGGCGGACGGCUGAGUAACGCGUGGGAACGUGCCCCAAAGUGAGGGAUAACGCACCGAAAGGUGUGCUAAUACCGCAUAUGGUCUUCGGAUUAAAGCUUCGGCGCUUUGGGAGCGGCCCGCGUACGAUUAGAUAGUUGGUGAGGUAAUGGCUCACCAAGUCGACGAUCGUUAGCUGGUCUGAGAGGAUGAUCAGCCAGACUGGGACUGAGACACGGCCCAGACUCCUACGGGUGGCAGCAGUAAGGAAUCUUCCACAAUGGGGGCAACCCUGAUGGAGCAACGCCGCGUGCAGGAUGAAGGUUUUCGAAUCGUAAACUGCUUUUAUAAGUGAAGAAUAUGACGGUAACUUAUGAAUAAGGAUCGGCUAACUACGUGCCAGCAGCCGCCGUAA
rnacentral:rRNA from 1 species